GCUGCAGGGUAACUUCAUCCAUCACUACGCUCCAGUUUUUGGAUAAUAACAUCUACUACCAGCCAGGAGCACCAUACCAUGGGAGGCUGAAGCUCAACAGUGCCAAUGGGAUGCCCUUGAAGAACACAGAGGUUUUUCUCACUGUAUACAGGGGCAAAAUGCAGUCUGAGACCUACCUCAGUGACCACACAGGGGUGACCUCUUUCACCUUGGACACUUCACCAUGGAGGGACAGCGACAAGGUUUCAUUACAGCAGAACAAGGAGGCACUUGGGACGUAAGAAGCAGA